rnacentral:rRNA from 1 species
UACGUAGGGUGCGAGCGUUAAUCGGAAUUACUGGGCGUAAGGGGAGCGUAGGCGGAUAGUUUAGUCAGAGGUGAAAGCCCAGGGCUCAACCUUGGAAUUGCCUUUGAUACUGGCUAUCUUGAGUAUGGAAGAGGUAUGUGGAACUCCGAGUGUAGAGGUGAAAUUCGUAGAUAUUCGGAAGAACACCAGUGGCGAAGGCGACAUACUGGUCCAUUACUGACGCUGAGGCUCGAAAGCGUGGGGAGCAAACAGG